rnacentral:tRNA from 1 species
GCCUGGGUGGCUUAGUCGGUUGAGCAUCUGACUUCGGCUCAGGUCAUGAUCUCACAGCUCAUGGGUUCUAGCCCCGCAUUAGGCU